rnacentral:rRNA from 1 species
UACGUAGGUCCCGAGCGUUGUCCGGAUUUAUUGGAUGUAAAGCGAGCGCAGGUGGUUUAUUAAGUCUGGUGUAAAAGGCAGUGGCUCAACCAUUGUAUGCAUUGGAAACUGGUAGACUUGAGUGCAGGAGAGGAGAGUGGAAUUCCAUGUGUAGCGGUGAAAUGCGUAGAUAUAUGGAGGAACACCGGUGGCGAAAGCGGCUCUCUGGCCUGUAACUGACACUGAGGCUCGAAAGCGUGGGGAGCAAACAGG